UGGGGGAUAUUGCACAAUGGGCGAAAGCCUGAUGCAGCGACGCCGCGUGGGGGAUGAAGGCUUUCGGGUUGUAAACCUCUUUCGCUAUCGAACAAGGCCCGCUUAGGGUGGGUUGAGGGUAGGUGGAGAAGAAGCGCCGGCUAACUACGUGCCAGCAGCCGCGGUAAUACGUAGGGCGCGAGCGUUGUCCGGAAUUAUUGGGCGUAAAGGGCUUGUAGGCGGCUUGUUGCGCCUGCUGUGAAAACGCGGGGCUUAACUUCGCGCGUGCAGUGGGUACGGGCAGGCUUGAGUGUGGUAGGGGUGACUGGAAUUCCAGGUGUAGCGGUGGAUUGCGCAGAUAUCUGGAGGAACACCGAUGGCGAAGGCAGGUCACUGGGCCAUUACUGACGCUGAGGAGCGAAAGCAUGGGUAGCGAACAGG
rnacentral:rRNA from 1 species